rnacentral:rRNA from 1 species
CGUAGGCGCGAGCGUUGUCCGGAUUAUUGGGCGUAAAGAGCUCGUAGGCGGCUUGUCGCGUCUGCUGUGAAAACGACGGGGCGUUAACUCCGCGCUUGCAGUGGGGUACGGGCAGGCUUGAGUGUAGUAGGGGAGACUGGAAUUCCUGGUGUAGCGGUGGAAUGCGCAGAUAUCAGGAGGAACACCGAUGGCGAAGGCAGGUCUCUGGGCUAUAACUGGCGCUGAGGAGCGAAAGCAUGGGGAGCGAACAGGAUU